UUGCUGAAUGGAGGGAAGAACUUCUCUUGGCUGCAGAAUUGAAGUUUCUCUCUUGCCUUCUACCACCUUCAUGUCUGGGAGUCCCAGUUUAGGACGCACAUUCACAAGACAGACCUCAUUGCUAGUAAGAUGGGCAGAAGCGGAGGUUCGAUUUCCAUGCUGAGCAAAUCACUAUGAAGCUGUUCCUUCAGUCUAAAGGAGAUGGAAUUCCUUGGACACUGGGAAAUGGCCACUGCAGAUUCUGCCCAAUGGGAAGCAGAAUACCACUUGCAACCCAGAAAGUACUGUCAUCUGGUCCUACAAGCAGGAAACACGGAGAAGGGAACCUCUAUUGUCCUGAAGACACCCCACGUCCUUUGGCUUUACACUUCCUUUAAGGCCACAAAUAUCUGGUGAAAGACAACUGGAAAGGGCUCUUUUCAGAGCCUUCUGACAUCACUGCAAGCCAAAACAACACAACAUAUUGGGAUAGCCCAAUGACUAUUUUUAAUGUUUGACUGAUUGCGUAUCCCAUGGCUGGAGAAAAAGGUGAGCCAGAGGCAUGAUGUUCACUUCCGCAAAGCAUUCAUAGGUCUAUCUGUAAGUUGGUAGAUGUUUUUCAUACACAAAAAAGUUAAACACAUAUACUGGAUAUUUGGGAAAACCACAGACACAGAAUUUUCCAGGAACACAAAGACAGUUCAUUGCUGUACUAAGGUUGCUAGGUUCAGAAAGAACAUAGAGCAAUACAAAAUGGCACAAGAGGAAGGGUGAAGAGCAGAAAACAACUUCAGUUCAUUCCCCGUUUAGCACUUAGGAUUAGCCAUCUCUGGUAAAUGGUUUUCAGAAGCAAUUUAUCAUGCCUCUUUUGUGCAGAA